rnacentral:rRNA from 1 species
GACGUAGGGCGCGAGCGUUGUCCGGAUUUAUUGGGCGUAAAGAGCUCGUAGGCGGCUUGUCGCGUCGACUGUGAAAUCCCGCGGCUCAACUGCGGGUCUGCAGUCGAUACGGGCAGGCUAGAGUUCGGUAGGGGAGACUGGAAUUCCUGGUGUAGCGGUGAAAUGCGCAGAUAUCGGGAGGAACACCGGUGGCGAAGGCGGUUCUCUGGGCCUGACCUGACGCUGAGGAGCGAAAGCGUGGGGAGCGAACAGG